UACAGAGGUGGCAAGCGUUGUUCGGAAUUACUGGGCGUAAAGGGCGCGUAGGUGGCCCGGUCAGCGUGCGGUGAAAGCUCGGGGCUCAACCCCGAGUCGGCCGUGCGAACUGCUGGGCUUGAGCACUGUAGAGGCAGGCGGAAUUCCGGGUGUAGCGGUGGAAUGCGUAGAGAUCCGGAAGAACACCGGUGGCGAAGGCGACAUCCUGGACCGGUAUUGACGCUGAGGCGCGAAAGCCAGGGGAGCAAACGGG
rnacentral:rRNA from 1 species